CCCUGCUCUCCCGCAGGUGUUCCACGUGUCCAUAGCAUUUACGUCACAAUGACCUGGCCGACAGGUGGGAGCCGCCGCGAGCGCCCCAGGGUUCCCUCCGUGCUGUGAGUGAUGAGUCCUCCUUGCUUCCACGUAAGAUUUCUGUAGCUUUUGGAGACAGGAGACUUCAUGACUUCAGUGUUAAGAAAAGUUACAGAGGCCUGUAUUUGGAAAUCAACUUGGAGCUUAAAGGAAAAGUCUGUGUGAAAAAAAACAAAAACAAUUGUGGAUAUAUAAUGUUAUCCAGGUAAUGGUUCAAUUUAUCAUGUGGUUCAUAGGCUGUAGAAUACUGAAAUGGGAUUCUGACAGAAUUGAAGAGGAAUGCACAUACGCCAGAGGUCCUGGACUUGAAGUGGCUACUUGAACAUUAUCUUACCAUCUUCAGGAUCCCCAAGUGUAAAAACAUGUUCUUCUAUCCCCUGUAUGUAAAGAAAGUUAUUCUAUAGUUCUUUGUAUAUGUACUUAUAUAUCCCACAUUUGUGUUGUCUUCUCCAUGUCCACUCAUUCAGCCAGACAUUUACUGAGCACUUAAAAUGGGUCAGACACUGUGUUAGGUUAUGUUUAUUUGUAUUCUUUCCAAUUGCAAGUUUUUGAUUUUAUAGUUCUAACGUUGCAUACAAAAAGUAUGCUUAAAACACAAUCUCUUACUCUAAUUUAAACCUUAUUCUCUUAUAUAGUUGACUGUAGUGUAUUCAUAGAUCUAAGAGACAGGACUACUGAAUAAAUGGACUAGUAAUUCUGAUAAUUCUAAAACUUCCCAGUGAAAUCUUCUAUCUGUAUAGUCUUAUGCAUGUAUAAAAUUUUAUUGAGAGCUGAAAAAAAAAUUACAGAAAAUGUGAUGAAUUUUAUUGUCAAUAAUUUUAUUUAAAAUGCCAAAUUAAAUACAGGUGAAUAUAAUCUGUAACUUAAUAUCAUUUAUUAUGUGCCAACUUGGUCAGAUCAAUAAUUUCAGCUAGCAUAAGAAAGCUAGAUACAUGAAAAAUUCCUGGCAGUCAUGUUAAAAUUAUUCCAUUCACUAGAAGUUCACCUUUUGCAAAUAAAGUUUUAUUUCUGGAUCUUUAUAGAUUACUCUAUGAGAAAAGAAUCAGGAGAAAUAGGAAAUAAAUUUAAAAUGGACAUUUUGUUCAGAUGACUCGAUUAACUGGAAGCUACUGCUAUUAGCCAGCUCCGUUCAGCGAGGAUCAAUUGAGCAGAAGAUCCUGGGUAGAGCGACUGAAAACACUAGCAUCCUAGAACAGCUAUGAGAGGAAUUCUCGACUUCGGUCUCUGCUGCCCUCAGUGUCCACGUUGGCCUGAUUGGACCCAGGCCUGGCCAGCAUUUUAUGAGUUGUGAUAUUGUGAUUUAUAAUAACAAAUAUGUAUUUGGUCUUUGUCCCCAUUUCUAGCACACAGCUCCUAAAACCCUUGUGGUUUCCUAAAUGAUAACAAUAGAGGUGUCUUUUGUUUUGUAAACGAAGUGAGUUUUCAAAGUACCUGUGGACUGGAGCUGGUUGCCAGGAAACCAACUCUGAUUAGAGGUUUGGAAUUUUCAGUCCCAUCCCCAACUCCAGGGAGGGGAGAGGGACUGGGGUUAGAUCAAUCACCAAUAGCCAAUGAUUACAUCAAUCAUUGUAAGGAAGCCUCUAUAAAUAUCCAAAAAUCGAUAGGAUUGGGAGAACCUCUGUGCUGGUGAACACAUGAAGAUUUGGGGCAGGGAGUGCCUCAGGAGAGAGCAUGGAAGCUCUGUGCCCUUUCCCCUUACCUUGUGCUAUGUGUCUCUCUUAUCUGACUAUUCCCGAGUUAUAUCCUUUUAUAGUCAGUCAGUAACUAGUAAGUAAAUUGUUUCUCUGAGUUCUGUGAACUGCUCCAACAAAUGAACUGAACCCAAGGAGGCGACUGUGGGAACCUCUGGUUUAUAGGCAGUCUGGUCAGAAACACAGCUUGGGGGUGCCUGGGUGGCUCAGUCCUUAAGUGUCUGCCUUCGGCUCAGGGUGUGAUCCCGGCGUUCUGGGAUCGAGCCCCACAUCGGGCUCCUAUGCUGGGAGCCUGC